UCAGGCCUAACACAUGCAAGUCGAACGGCAGCAUGGAUGUUUUUUCGGAAGCAUCUGAUGGCGAGUGGCGGACGGGUGAGUAAAGCGUAGGGAUCUGCCUAAUAGAGGGAGAUAGCUUGUGGAAACGCAAGGUAAUAUUCCAUAGGCCGAGAGGUUAAAAGCUGAGUCGAGAGGCGAUGUGCUAUUAGAUGAACCUGCGUCGGAUUAGCUAGUUGGUUGGGUAAAGGCUAACCAAGGCGACGAUCCGUAGCUGUUCUGAGAGGAAGAUCAGCCACACUGGGACUGAGAUACGGCCCAGACUUCUACGGAAGGCAGCAGUGGGGAAUAUUGGACAAUGGGCGAAAGCCUGAUCCAGCAAUGCCGCGUGUGUGAAGAAGGCCUGAGGGUUGUAAAGCACUUUCGUUAGAGAAGAAGAUUUAAGUAAUUAUGUUUGACGUUAUCUAAAGAAGAAGCACUGGCUAACUCUGUGCCAGCAGCCGCGGUAAUACAGAGAGUGCAAGCGUUAAUCGGAGUUACUGGGCGUAAAGGGUGAGUAGGUGGAUAUAUAAGUCAAUUGUAAAAGGACAGGGCUUAACCUUGUUAAGGCAAAUGAUACUGUAUAUCUAGAGUAAUGUAGAGGGUAAUGGAAUUUCCGGUGUAGCGGUGAAAUGCGUAGAUAUCGGAAGGAACACCAGUUGCGAAGGCGAUUACCUGGACAUAU
rnacentral:rRNA from 1 species